GCCAGCGCUGAAAGAGCAAGCAGCUGAUUCUUUCGCCUUUUACUAAAGAAUACCGUGUGCACACUUCAAUUAGCAGCAUACUCUAAUUUUUAGAGGGGAUUCUCCUUGUUUGGAGGGA